rfam:Oryza sativa Japonica Group DNA, chromosome 2, cultivar: Nipponbare, complete sequence.
AAAAAGGCAAACUAUGGAUUUCCGUGUCCAAUUUUAACUGUCCGUUUUAUAUGAAUUUUUUUUAUAAUUCAUAUUUUCAUUGUUGCUAGAUAAUAAAACAUGAUUAAUAUUUUAUGCGUGACUUGUCUUUUUAAUUUUUUUCAUAAUUUUUUCAAAUAAGACGGAUGGUCAAACGUUGGGCACGGAAACCAGGGUUUGUCUUUUU